rnacentral:rRNA from 1 species
UAGGGAAUCUUCGGCAAUGGGGGCAACCCUGACCGAGCAACGCCGCGUGAGUGAAGAAGGUUUUCGGAUCGUAAAGCUCUGUUGUAAGAGAAGAACGUGUGUGAGAGUGGAAAGUUCACACAGUGACGGUAACUUACCAGAAAGGGACGGCUAACUACGUGCCAGCAGCCGCGGUAAUACGUAGGUCCCGAGCGUUGUCCGGAUUUAUUGGGCGUAAAGCGAGAGCAGGCGGUUUAAUAAGUCUGAAGUUAAAGGCAGUGGCUUAACCAUUGUUCGCUUUGGAAACUGUUAAACUUGAGUGCAGAAGGGGAGAGUGGAAUUCCAUGUGUAGCGGUGAAAUGCGUAGAUAUAUGGAGGAACACCGGUGGCGAAAGCGGCUCUCUGGUCUGUAACUGACGCUGAGGCUCGAAAGCGUGGGGAGCAAACAGG